rnacentral:rRNA from 1 species
GAUGAACGCUGGCGGCGUGCCUAAUACAUGCAAGUCGAGCGAACGGACGAGAAGCUUGCUUCUCUGAUGUUAGCGGCGGACGGGUGAGUCACACGUGGAUAACCUACCUAUAAGACUGGGAUAACUUCGGGAAACCGGAGCUCAUACCGGAUGAUAUUUUGAACCGCAUGGUUCAAAAGUGAAAGUCGGUCUUGCUGUCACUUAUAGAUGGAUCCGCGCUGCAUUAGCUAGUUGGUAAGGUAACGGCUUACCAAGGCAACGAUGCAUAGCCGGCCUGAGAGGGUGAUCGGCCACACUGGAACUGAGACACGGUCCAGACUCCUACGGGAGGCAGCAGUAGGGAAGCGUCCGCAAUGGGCGAAAGCCUGACGGAGCAACGCCGCGGGAGUGAUGAAGGUCUGCGGAUCGUAAAACUCUGUGAUUAGGGAAGAACAUAUGUGUAAGUAACUGUGCACAUCGUGACGGUACCUAAUCAGAAAGCCACGGCUAACUACGUG